rnacentral:rRNA from 1 species
CCUACGGGAGGCAGCAGUGAGGAAUAUUGGUCAAUGGGCGCGAGCCUGAACCAGCCAAGUCGCGUGAGGGAGGACGGCCCUACGGGUUGUACACCUCUUUUGCCGGGGAGCAACGGGCGCCACUUGUGGCGUCACUGAGAGUACCCGGAGAAAAAGCAUCGGCUAACUCCGUGCCAGCAGCCGCGGUAAUCCGGAGGGUGCGAGCGUUCUCCGGAGUUAUUGGGUUUAAAGGGUGCUUAGGCGGAUCGUUAAGUCAGUGGUCACAUUGAGGGGCUAAACCCCUUCCCGCCAUUGAAACUGGCGUUCUUGAGUGGAAGAGAAGUAUGCGGAAUGCGUGGUGUAGCGGUGAAAUGCAUAGAUA